GAUGAACGCUGGCGGCGUGCCUAAUACAUGCAAGUCGAGCGAACGGACGAGAAGCUUGCUUCUCUGAUGUUAGCGGCGGACGGGUGAGUAACACGUGGAUAACCUACCUAUAAGACUGGGAUAACUUCGGGAAACCGGAGCUAAUACCGGAUGAUAUUUUGAGCCGCAUGGUUCAAAAGUGAAAGACGGUCUUGCUGUUACUUAUAGAUGGAUCCGCGCUGCAUUAGCUAGUUGGUAAGGUAACGGCUUACCAAGGCAACGAUGCAUAGCCGACCUGAGAGGGUGAUCGGCCACACUGGAACUGAGACACGGUCCAGACUCCUACGGGAGGCAGCAGUAGGGAAUCUUCCGCAAUGGGCGAAAGCCUGACGGAGCAACGCCGCGUGAGUGAUGAAGGUCUUCGGAUCGUAAAACUCUGUUAUUAGGGAAGAACAUAUGUGUAAGUAACUGUGCACAUCUUGACGGUACCUAAUCAGAAAGCCACGGCUAACUACGUG
rnacentral:rRNA from 1 species